rnacentral:lncRNA from 1 species
CCAUGCCCACUUUACUUCGUUUAAUCUUGUGAGUCCCCCUCAUAAUUCUCCUCUUCACGACAACUCCUCUCUCUCUUCUAAUAGCCAUGAGUCUCACUCCCUUUCUUUCUAUUUCUAUUUUUUUUUAUUCAUUAGAUCUCUACCAUGCAUCUACAUAUCUUCGUGUAUCAUGCACAUAACAGAUUUGAAUUUGGAUUCGAACUUCAUCUGCAUGUGUUGAAGGGUUGUUACUUGUUGGUUUGCAAUUAAAUC